GAAGGGGCCAAGCCUAUACAUGCAAGUCGAGCGAAUGGAUUAAGAGCUUGCUCUUAUGAAGUUAGCGGCGGACGGGUGAGUAACACGUGGGUAACCUGCCCAUAAGACUGGGAUAACUCCGGGAAACCGGGGCUAAUACCGGAUAACAUUUUGAACUGCAUGGUUCGAAAUUGAAAGGCGGCUUCGGCUGUCACUUAUGGAUGGACCCGCGUCGCAUUAGCUAGUUGGUGAGGUAACGGCUCACCAAGGCAACGAUGCGUAGCCGACCUGAGAGGGUGAUCGGCCACACUGGGACUGAGACACGGCCCAGACUCCUACGGGAGGCAGCAGUAGGGAAUCUUCCGCAAUGGACGAAAGUCUGACGGAGCAACGCCGCGUGAGUGAUGAAGGCUUUCGGGUCGUAAAACUCUGUUGUUAGGGAAGAACAAGUGCUAGUUGAAUAAGCUGGCACCUUGACGGUACCUAACCAGAAAGCCACGGCUAACUACGUGCCAGCAGCCGCGGUAAUACGUAGGUGGCAAGCGUUAUCCGGAAUUAUUGGGCGUAAAGCGCGCGCAGGUGGUUUCUUAAGUCUGAUGUGAAAGCCCACGGCUCAACCGUGGAGGGUCAUUGGAAACUGGGAGACUUGAGUGCAGAAGAGGAAAGUGGAAUUCCAUGUGUAGCGGUGAAAUGCGUAGAGAUAUGGAGGAACACCAGUGGCGAAGGCGACUUUCUGGUCUGUAACUGACACUGACGCACGAAAGC
rnacentral:rRNA from 1 species